GCCAGGAUGCUGGAAUUGGUAUACAGGCUGGUCUCAAAAACCAGUGGGUUUCGACCCAUGAGGGUUCAACUCCCUCUCCUGGCA
rnacentral:tRNA from 1 species